rnacentral:rRNA from 1 species
CGCUAUCAGAUGAGCCUAGGUCGGAUUAGCUAGUUGGUGAGGUAAUGGCUCACCAAGGCGACGAUCCGUAACUGGUCUGAGAGGAUGAUCAGUCACACUGGAACUGAGACACGGUCCAGACUCCUACGGGAGGCAGCAGUGGGGAAUAUUGGACAAUGGGCGAAAGCCUGAUCCAGCCAUGCCGCGUGUGUGAAGAAGGUCUUCGGAUUGUAAAGCACUUUAAGUUGGGAGGAAGGGCAUUAACCUAAUACGUUAGUGUUUUGACGUUACCGACAGAAUAAGCACCGGCUAACUCUGUGCCAGCAGCCGCGGUAAUACAGAGGGUGCAAGCGUUAAUCGGAAUUACUGGGCGUAAAGCGCGCGUAGGUGGUUUGUUAAGUUGGAUGUGAAAUCCCCGGGC